AACGUAGGGGGCGAGCGUUGUCCGGAAUUACUGGGCGUAAAGGGUGCGUAGGCGGCCGCUUAAGUCCUGUGUGAAAGGCCCCGGCUUAACCGGGGAGGGUCAUGGGAAACUGGGCGGCUUGAGUGCCGGAGAGGGUGGCGGAAUUCCCGGUGUAGCGGUGAAAUGCGUAGAGAUCGGGAGGAACACCAGUGGCGAAGGCGGCCACCUGGACGGCAACUGACGCUGAGGCACGACAGCUGGGGGAGCAAAC
rnacentral:rRNA from 1 species